rnacentral:rRNA from 1 species
UACCAGCACCCCGAGUGGUCGGGACGAUUAUUGGGCCUAAAGCAUCCGUAGCCGGUCAUGCAAGUCUUCCGUUAAAUCCACCUGCUUAACAGAUGGGCUGCGGAGGAUACUAUGGAGCUAGGAGGCGGGAGAGGCAAGCGGUACUUAGUGGGUAGGGGUAAAAUCCGUUGAUCCAUUGAAGACCACCAGUGGCGAAGGCGGCUUGCCAGAACGCACUCGACGGUGAGGGAUGAAAGCUGGGGGAGCAAACCGG